GGGUUGUGAGGUUAAGCGACUAAGCGUACACGGUGGAUGCCCUGGCAGUCAGAGGCGAUGAAGGGCGUGCUAAUCUGCGAUAAGCGCCGGUAAGGUGAUAUGAACCGUUAUAACCGGCGAUACCCGAAUGGGGAAACCCAGUGUGUUUCGACACACUAUCAUUAACUGAAUCCAUAGGUUAAUGAGGCGAACCGGGGGAACUGAAACAUCUAAGUACCCCGAGGAAAAGAAAUCAACCGAGAUUCCCCCAGUAGCGGCGAGCGAACGGGGAGGAGCCCAGAGCCUGAAUCAGCAUGUGUGUUAGUGGAAGCGUCUGGAAAGGCGCGCGAUACAGGGUGACAGCCCCGUACACAAAAGCGCAUGUGCUGUGAGCUCGAUGAGUAGGGCGGGACACGUGGUAUCCUGUCUGAAUAUGGGGGGACCAUCCUCCAAGGCUAAAUACUCCUGACUGACCGAUAGUGAACCAGUACCGUGAGGGAAAGGCGAAAAGAACCCCGGCGAGGGGAGUGAAAAAGAACCUGAAACCGUGUACGUACAAGCAGUGGGAGCACCCUUUUGUGUGACUGCGUACCUUUUGUAUAAUGGGUCAGCGACUUAUAUUCUGUAGCAAGGUUAACCGAAUAGGGGAGCCGGAGGGAAACCGAGUCUUAACCGGGCGUUAAGUUGCAGGGUAUAGACCCGAAACCCGGUGAUCUAGCCAUGGGCAGGUUGAAGGUUGGGUAACACUAACUGGAGGACCGAACCGACUAAUGUUGAAAAAUUAGCGGAUGACCUGUGGCUGGGGGUGAAAGGCCAAUCAAACCGGGAGAUAGCUGGUUCUCCCCGAAAGCUAUUUAGGUAGCGCCUCGUGAAUUCAUCUCCGGGGGUAGAGCACUGUUUCGGCUAGGGGGCCAUCCCGGCUUACCAACCCGAUGCAAACUGCGAAUACCGGAGAAUGUUAUCACGGGAGACACACGGCGGGUGCUAACGUCCGUCGUGAAGAGGGAAACAACCCAGACCGCCAGCUAAGGUCCCAAAGUCAUGGUUAAGUGGGAAACGAUGUGGGAAGGCCCAGACAGCCAGGAUGUUGGCUUAGAAGCAGCCAUCAUUUAAAGAAAGCGUAAUAGCUCACUGGUCGAGUCGGCCUGCGCGGAAGAUGUAACGGGGCUAAACCAUGCACCGAAGCUGCGGCAGCGACGCUGAUGCGUUGUUGGGUAGGGGAGCGUUCUGUAAGCCUGUGAAGGUGUGUCGUGAGGCAUGCUGGAGGUAUCAGAAGUGCGAAUGCUGACAUAAGUAACGAUAAAGCGGGUGAAAAGCCCGCUCGCCGGAAGACCAAGGGUUCCUGUCCAACGUUAAUCGGGGCAGGGUGAGUCGACCCCUAAGGCGAGGCCGAAAGGCGUAGUCGAUGGGAAACGGGUUAAUAUUCCCGUACUUGGUGUUACUGCGAAGGGGGGACGGAGAAGGCUAUGUUGGCCGGGCGACGGUUGUCCCGGUUUAAGCGUGUAGGUGUGUGUUCCAGGUAAAUCCGGUUCACUUUAACACUGAGGCGUGACGACGAGGCACUACGGUGCUGAAGCAACAAAUGCCCUGCUUCCAGGAAAAGCCUCUAAGCAUCAGGUAACAUCAAAUCGUACCCCAAACCGACACAGGUGGUCAGGUAGAGAAUACCAAGGCGCUUGAGAGAACUCGGGUGAAGGAACUAGGCAAAAUGGUGCCGUAACUUCGGGAGAAGGCACGCUGACACGUAGGUGAAGUGAUUUACUCAUGGAGCUGAAGUCAGUCGAAGAUACCAGCUGGCUGCAACUGUUUAUUAAAAACACAGCACUGUGCAAACACGAAAGUGGACGUAUACGGUGUGACGCCUGCCCGGUGCCGGAAGGUUAAUUGAUGGGGUCAGCGCAAGCGAAGCUCCUGAUCGAAGCCCCGGUAAACGGCGGCCGUAACUAUAACGGUCCUAAGGUAGCGAAAUUCCUUGUCGGGUAAGUUCCGACCUGCACGAAUGGCGUAAUGAUGGCCAGGCUGUCUCCACCCGAGACUCAGUGAAAUUGAACUCGCUGUGAAGAUGCAGUGUACCCGCGGCAAGACGGAAAGACCCCGUGAACCUUUACUAUAGCUUGACACUGAACAUUGAGCCUUGAUGUGUAGGAUAGGUGGGAGGCUUUGAAGUGUGGACGCCAGUCUGCAUGGAGCCGACCUUGAAAUACCACCCUUUAAUGUUUGAUGUUCUAACGUGGACCCGUGAUCCGGGUUGCGGACAGUGUCUGGUGGGUAGUUUGACUGGGGCGGUCUCCUCCUAAAGAGUAACGGAGGAGCACGAAGGUUGGCUAAUCCUGGUCGGACAUCAGGAGGUUAGUGCAAUGGCAUAAGCCAGCUUGACUGCGAGCGUGACGGCGCGAGCAGGUGCGAAAGCAGGUCAUAGUGAUCCGGUGGUUCUGAAUGGAAGGGCCAUCGCUCAACGGAUAAAAGGUACUCCGGGGAUAACAGGCUGAUACCGCCCAAGAGUUCAUAUCGACGGCGGUGUUUGGCACCUCGAUGUCGGCUCAUCACAUCCUGGGGCUGAAGUAGGUCCCAAGGGUAUGGCUGUUCGCCAUUUAAAGUGGUACGCGAGCUGGGUUUAGAACGUCGUGAGACAGUUCGGUCCCUAUCUGCCGUGGGCGCUGGAGAACUGAGGGGGGCUGCUCCUAGUACGAGAGGACCGGAGUGGACGCAUCACUGGUGUUCGGGUUGUCAUGCCAAUGGCACUGCCCGGUAGCUAAAUGCGGAAGAGAUAAGUGCUGAAAGCAUCUAAGCACGAAACUUGCCCCGAGAUGAGUUCUCCCUGAGACUUAGAGUCUCCUGAAGGAACGUUGAAGACGACGACGUUGAUAGGCCGGGUGUGUAAGCGCAGCGAUGCGUUGAGCUAACCGGUACUAAUGAACCGUGAGGCUUAACCUUACAACGCCGAAG
rnacentral:rRNA from 1 species